UACGGGGGGAGCAAGCGUUGUUCGGAUUUACUGGGCGUAAAGGGCGCGUAGGCGGCGCAACAAGUCACUUGUGAAAUCUCCGGGCUUAACCCGGAGCGGCCAAGUGAUACUGUCGUGCUAGAGUGCGGAAGGGGCUACUGGAAUUCUUGGUGUAGCGGUGGAAUGCGUAGAUAUCAAGAGGAACACCUGCGGCGAAGGCGGGUUGCUGGGCCGACACUGACGCUGAGGCGCGAAAGCCAGGGGAGCGAACGGG
rnacentral:rRNA from 1 species